rnacentral:rRNA from 1 species
AUAAAAAUUUUUAUUUAAAUUUUUAUUUUAGAAAUUUUUAAUUAAAAAGUUAAUGUUUUUAUUAAAUUUAUUGAAAAAAUUUAUUUUAUGAUAGUUUAUAGUAUUGUGAAAGAAAAUUUUUAUAUUUGUUAAAGAAAAUUUUUUUUAUUGUACCUUGUGUAUCAGGGUUUAUUAAUUAUAGUUAAUUAGUUAAUUUUCUCGAAUUUAAAAGAGUUAAAUAUAAAUAAAUUUUAUUGUAAAAUAAAUAUUUAAAAUUUAUAUUUAGUAAUGAAACGUUAUUCGUUUUUAAAUAUAUCUAGUUAUUUAAGAAAUAAAUUUAAUUUAAUUAUUAGUUAAUAUAAUUAUUAUUUUUAUAUAAUUAUAUUAUUAAUAUUUUAUAUAUUAAGGGAUAAGCUUUAAUAUAGAUUUUUAUAAUAAUUUAAAUUUAUAUUAUUUAUAGGAUUAGAAUUUUCAAUUUUUAAAAGAAUGUUAUAAUUAAUUAUAUUUUUUAUAUAAUUUAUAUUUUAUUUAAGUUUUUUAUUAAAUAGUUAAUUAAAAUUUUUAAAGUUAAUUUAUUAUGAUAAAAUUAGUAUAAAUUUAUAAAAAUUUAAAUUUUAAUUUUUAGAUAUAAAUAAGGAAUUCGGCAAAUAUAUUUUUCACCUGUUUAUUAAAAACAUGUCUUUUUGAGUUUAAUUUAAAGUCUGGCCUGCCCAAUGAUUUAAUUAUUAAAUGGCCGCAGUAUUUUGACUGUGCAAAGGUAGCAUAAUCAUUAGUUUUUUAAUUGAAAGCUAGUAUGAAUGGUUUAAUGAAAAAAUAGCUGUCUCAUUUAUAAAUUUAGAAUUUUAUUUUUAAGUUAAAAAGCUUAAAUUUAUUAAAAAGACGAGAAGACCCUAUAGAGUUUUAUAUAAAAAAAUUAAAUAUUAAAAUUUUGAUUAAUAAAUAAUAUUAAUUUUUUUAUGUUUCAUUGGGGUGAUGGAAAAAUUUAAUAAACUUUUUAUAAAUUUAAACAUUAAUAUAUGAAAUAUUGAUCCUAAAUUUUAGAUUAUAAGAAAAAAUUACCUUAGGGAUAACAGCGUAAUUUUUUUUUAGAGUUCUAAUCGAAAAAAAAGAUUGCGACCUCGAUGUUGGAUUAAAAUUAAGUUAUGGUGUAGAAGCUAUAAAUUUAGGUCUGUUCGACCUUUAAAAUUUUACAUGAUCUGAGUUUAAACCGGUGUAAGCCAGGUUGGUUUCUAUCUUUUAAAAAUUAAAAUAGUUUAGUACGAAAGGACCAAUUAUUUAAAUAAAAUUUUAAAUUUUGAAUUAAAAU